rnacentral:rRNA from 1 species
CCUACGGGAGGCAGCAGUGGGGAAUUUUGGACAAUGGGCGCAAGCCUGAUCCAGCCAUGCCGCGUGUGGGAAGAAGGCCUUCGGGUUGUAAACCACUUUUGUCAGGGAAGAAACGGCUUUUUCUAAUACAGAGAGCUAAUGACGGUACCUGAAGAAUAAGCACCGGCUAACUACGUGCCAGCAGCCGCGGUAAUACGUAGGGUGCAAGCGUUAAUCGGAAUUACUGGGCGUAAAGCGUGCGCAGGCGGCUUUGCAAGACAGAUGUGAAAUCCCCGGGCUCAACCUGGGAACUGCAUUUGUGACUGCAUGGCUAGAGUACGGUAGAGGGGGAUGGAAUUCCGCGUGUAGCAGUGAAAUGCGUAGAUAUGCGGAGGAACACCGAUGGCGAAGGCAAUCCCCUGGACCUGUACUGACGCUCAUGCACGAAAGCGUGGGGAGCAAACAGGAUUAGAUACCCUGGUAGUCCACGCCCUAAACGAUGUCAACUGGUUGUUGGACGGCUUGCUGUUCAGUAACGAAGCUAACGCGUGAAGUUGACCGCCUGGGGAGUACGGCCGCAAGGUUGAAACGUUAAAGGAAUUGACGG